GCGGCGACCAUGGUGGGGGAAAUGGAAACGAAGGAGAAGCCCAAGCCCAGCCCGGAUUACCUGAUGCAGCUCAUGAACGACAAGAAGCUCAUGAGCAGCCUGCCCAACUUCUGCGGCAUCUUCAACCACCUCGAGCGGCUCCUGGACGAAGAAAUUAGCAGAGUACGGAAAGACAUGUACAAUGACACAUUAAAUGGCAGUACAGAGAAAAGGAGUGCAGAGUUGCCUGAUGCGGUGGGACCUAUUGUUCAGUUACAAGAGAAACUAUAUGUGCCUGUAAAAGAAUAUCCAGAUUUUAAUUUUGUGGGGAGAAUUCUUGGACCCAGAGGACUUACAGCUAAACAACUUGAAGCAGAAACAGGAUGUAAGAUAAUGGUCCGAGGCAAAGGCUCAAUGAGGGAUAAAAAGAAGGAGGAGCAAAAUAGAGGCAAACCCAAUUGGGAGCAUCUCAAUGAAGAUUUACAUGUACUAAUCACUGUGGAAGAUGCUCAAAACAGAGCAGAGAUCAAACUGAAGAGAGCUGUGGAGGAAGUGAAGAAAUUACUGGUACCUGCAGCAGAGGGCGAGGACAGCCUGAAAAAGAUGCAGCUGAUGGAGCUGGCGAUUCUGAAUGGCACCUACAGAGACGCCAACAUCAAAUCACCAGCCCUUGCCUUUUCUCUUGCAGCAACAGCCCAGGCUGCUCCACGGAUUAUCACGGGGCCUGCGCCUGUUCUCCCACCAGCUGCUCUGCGUACUCCUACGCCAGCUGGGCCCACCAUAAUGCCUUUGAUCAGACAAAUACAGACCGCUGUCAUGCCAAACGGAACUCCUCACCCAACUGCUGCAAUAGUUCCUCCAGGUCCCGAAGCUGGCUUAAUCUACACACCCUACGAAUACCCCUACACAUUGGCACCAGCUACGUCUAUCCUUGAGUACCCUAUCGAACCUAGUGGUGUAUUAGGUAUGGCUUUCCCAACGAAAGGCUAAGAAUUCAAGAACGGUCUUAACUGAACCCUCAUCAGAUCUGAAUUUAACCAAUGCUUAGUCUCAGCAGCCUUCGGGCGGGGGAGGGUGGGGAAGCUUGGCCUAGCAGUCAGUGACUUACUUGCACUUUUUUGCACACUGAUAGAAAGUGAAAAUACGCUAUUAAUUGGGUCUAGUCUGUAACCUUACAAAGUAACGGUAAUUUAUAAAGGAGUGUAUAGUAGUAUACUGACUGCUAAGUGUACUAUACUGUUUGCUUUACUAAUCACCUAAUUCAUUGCAGUUCAUACUUAUUGACUCAAAGUUUAAAACCACAAUCUGUAGGCUUUAAGGAUAGCUUUUAAACCUUUUUAAGUGAUAAGCUCUUGGAAGUGGACUUAAGGUUAGCAAAUAAUUGUCAGUAUUAAAAAUGGCAUUAUUUAAGUAGUCCUGCUGCAAGAAAGGCACUUCAGUGAAUAUGUGACUAGUAAAGCUUAAGUAGGUGUGGAUCUAAUAGAAUUCAUGAAAUACUGUAACUUGGGAUUGUACAUUAAUGGAUAAAUUAGGUUAAGGCCAAGACGUUUGAAGUGAAUGCAAUAUUAAUAGACGCAUAUACACACAACAUAUGGUUAAUUUUAAAACUACUGUGCCUUAACUGUUUCUUAAAGUGAAACUUUUGUAGUAAGUGAACGUUUGAAAUCCAUUUUGAUAAACCUGCUGUUAAUGUUUGUUUUAUUCCCCUUGUGAAUGUUUUCUAACUUUGUCUUGGUAAUUGCAAUUUAACUAGGUGCGGUGGCUACUAAAGUUCGAAGGCACGAUAUGCGAGUCCAUCCUUACCAAAGGAUUGUGACCGCAGACCGAGCCGCCACCGGCAACUAACCUAUGACCUUCUGACCUCUGAACUCUUCACCCAAUGAUGACCUGACCAUGCCUGCCUGCUGAUCAGUUAACUGGUAAUCGCCUUUGCUUGCCUGUCGUCAGUGCAGCGAGCUGAGGCACUUGUCCGUUCGUCUUUACCAUCUAACCAAACAAAAGACAAAGAAAUGGUUGUCCUCCAACUCAGCUUUUUUUUUUUUUUGUUUUCUUCCUGUUUGGGUGAAAGUGGUUCUAGAACCUGCACUGAAUAGUAGUAAAGCAAUAAGGCCCAAUUCAUCCCGCAGCACUGAUCACCUGUUACUGUCCUGCCCUAAGCGAACGGUCAGAAGGCCUCAGUCCAAAGGGGAUGCAGCUGGCCCCCGACUACUCAGUGACAGGGGCAGUUACUGUGAGAGACUCCUAGGACCUUCUCAGAGCCAGUCAGAGCUCUCUGAAUGUACUGUGUGAUGAUGCAUCAUGCAUGAACCUUCGGUCAGGGAUGGCAUUGGGGAAGCAGUCUCAAAAAGUAUUGAAAAUUUGAUAUGUUGUUUGGUCACUACAGUGCCCCCCAACCCAGGGCAGAAACUGCAGCCUUUUUUAUAUUGCCUGCCCAAAAUGGAAGUAUUAAACGUGUGCCAUGAAAAAACAAAAAAAAAACAAAAAAAAAACAAAGACAAAAAACGUAACAAGGAAUUUUGCAAAGUAAUUCAAAGAACAAAACUGCAACACUAUUUUUAAAAAGACAAAUAUCUGAGUUUAAAAUACUGGACCUUUAUUUUACAACUCUUUAAAAAUAGUAUACGAGAACAAGGUACAUGCAUUAUGUGUCACAUUACUGGGCAAAGUGUUCAAAUAUUUUUUUUAAACCUCCCUGUAUAGAAAAAAAUCAUUAAGGAUGUAAAAGCCAUGCUUGCCUAUUUGCUGUAUACAUGUAAUGAAAUUGUAGAUAAAGUGUAGUGCAUUGAAACAAAUGAACAAAAAGUAGAUACUUUUACUAUACAAGGGUGCUGGUGCAGAAAAAAAUAUAUAUAUUUUUGGAAAUGUAGCAUUUUAUACUUUCAAGUGUUAUAAAAAAAAGAAAAAGAACAAAGAAACCCUUUAUUUCAUUAAAUAAUUUUUUCCGGUGGUUGUCAAGAAACAAAAGACCAAAAGAGCCUUUUUUGUCUUUUCUUUUUUAUUUUUUAAGUAUUGGAAUAAGUCUAAAGAAAAGAAAGUGCCUUAUUUUUCUUCAUGGUCAUUUAGUCUAAACGUCUCGUAAGCUCAGCUCCUCCCUCCAUACAUGAGUUCACGCAUGUCACGCAGUCACCCAGUAUGAAAAAGAGGACGGAGGGGAGACAAGUAAGUUGAUGGAUUGAAUGAGAUGAUUUUUUUGGGCCACGAUACCUUGAUGCAAAUUUGCCAAAUUUGAUACUGUGAAAAAUUUGAUAAUUUUUCUAAUGCCCGACAUUUUUUAAAACAUUCUUUUAAAAUCAGAAUUGAAUGCUUUUUGGUUAUUAAAAUAUUUAAUGUUCAAAGGAUUCGGAGAUAAAAAUUAUGUGUGAUCCAAACUUCAAUUUAUAGACGAAUUAGAGGUUCAUUUUCUUCAGAGAAGGGGUUUGGGGUUUUUUUUCCUUGGUCAUUGGAGGAAAUAAUGACUAAACAGUAAUAUUUGUGAUUUGCAUUCUGGAAGAAAUGACCCAAAUUGAAAUGACUUGUUCCUACAGACUAGAUACCAGUAGGCAAACUCUAUGCUGGUUUUCGUGACCUCAGCCAGCCCAUCCCAGCCCACCUUAGCCUACCUUUCCAUUUUGAGCCUUCAGACAGGUGAAGAGUGAGCACUCUUGUGUAGACACUCGAUUCCCUCUUGGCGCCAUUGCUCCUGAGAACACAGUUCGUUUUGUAGUCGAAGCGACCUGUGCACAGAGCCUGUUUCUCACAUUUAGGUCAAUAAAUAAUCAUUAACUGUUCAGUACCAGACGUGGCAAUGAGGGACUGUUGACCCCCAGCUCAUCUGCUUGUCCCCUCUCCUGUCCCUUUGCAGCCACAAGGGCAAAGGGCCGCGCUGAGCUCCUUGGGCACCACAGUGCCACACCUCCAAGCAUCCCAUCUCCCCUGGAAAGCAUUUUGAGUUUAUUUACUAUGCAAUGCCAGUCACUGUCUGUAUUCAGCUAGCUUUGGGUUCUGGUGCCACUGCUUUGUCUCUGUGAUACAUCCCGUGGUUUGGAUUUACUUUGAAUAUAUGCUGUGCCAUUGCGAGUUUUAUUUUGAUUGGUUGAGUAAGUUUGCGACACUCAAGCACUUGAGGUGAUAGUAUAAAGACGAUCCAGUAUUUUGCUCCAGUUUCAUCUCAACGAUGUAUUUCUACACAUUUUAGAUGUUUAUCAAAGGUCUUUUAUGGGGAAGAAAGUAAAUAUAUGAAAUGUGUGACAUUUAUGAGUAUGUUGGCUCUGAACAAAAUUUUAAAAACUUAGUUGACAAAAUUUUGGAUCAACUGAAAAAAAAACGCAUGAUUUUUGAAAUCUCUGAAUGCCUUAGUUCUCAGUAUUAUCAUUAUUGAAUUUAUUUCUUAUUAAAAUAUGUCGUUUUUAAGACUUUUUCUGACAGUAUUAUGUAAUUUUUUAGCGUGGGUAGAUGGGAGUGUCGCUCGUAUGUUGCCGUACAGCCGACAUGUAUUUUUGUCUAUUCUUUAUUAUCUUAGUAGUUUCAUGCUGUGUAUGUACCAUAACCAACCUAUUGCCUAUGAGAAACAUGUAAGAUAAUGUAUUUACAGCCAUUGUUACAAGUUUAUAAUGUAUUUUUCUAUCUUGUUUUAUAUGUAUGUUAUAUAACAUUCAAAAAAGAAUUUUUUUUCUUGAUUGAGAAAAGGAUACAAAAUCCCAAAUCCACAAUUUUGAUAACUGAAUAUUGCCAAUUGUUUUGCAGUACUUUAUUAUAUUGGGUGUCUUGUCCUUCUUGGGCUUUUAGUUAUUUAGCUAAUGAAUGAAUACAUUAGACUCUUUUGGGUUUUAGUUGGGAAUUUUACAUAGCUUGCAUUUUAAUUCUUUGGUUCUUUGCUGUUUCUAUUAACCCAUAGCAUUAUUUUAAUAAAUGUUAUAAUACCAACCUACUAA